GACGAACGCUGGCGGCGUGCUUAACACAUGCAAGUCGAGCGGUAAGGCCCUUUCGGGGGUACGACGAGCGGCGAACGGGUGAGUAACACGUGGGUGACCUGCCCUCCAGCUCUGGGAGUAAGCCUGGGAAACCGGGUCUAAUACUGGAUAUGACUCCAUGACGCAUGUUGUGGGGUGGAAAGCCUUGUGCGGCUGAGGAUGGGCCCGCGGCCUAUCAGCUUGUUGGUGGGGUGANGGCCUACCAAGGCGACGACGGGUAGCCGGCCUGAGAGGGCGACCGGCCACACUGGGACUGAGACACGGCCCAGACUCCUACGGGAGGCAGCAGUGGGGAAUCUUGCGCAAUGGGCGAAAGCCUGACGCAGCGACGCCGCGUGAGGGAUGACGGCCUCGGUUGUAACC
rnacentral:rRNA from 1 species